ACGAACGCUGGCGGCGUGCCUAAUACAUGCAAGUCGAGCGGAGCUAGUGUUUUCUUCGGAAAACACGAUGCUUAGCGGCGGACGGGUGAGUAACACGUAGGUAACCUGCCCAUAAGACCGGGAUAACAUUCGGAAACGGAUGCUAAUACCGGAUACGCGAUUCUCUCGCAUGAGGGAGUUGGGAAAGGCGGAGCAAUCUGUCACUUAUGGAUGGACCUGCGGCGCAUUAGCUAGUUGGUGAGGUAACGGCUCACCAAGGCGACGAUGCGUAGCCGACCUGAGAGGGUGAUCGGCCACACUGGGACUGAGACACGGCCCAGACUCCUACGGGAGGCAGCAGUAGGGAAUCUUCCGCAAUGGACGAAAGUCUGACGGAGCAACGCCGCGUGAGUGAUGAAGGUUUUCGGAUCGUAAAGCUCUGUUGCCAGGGAAGAACGCUAGAGAGAGUAACUGCUCUUUAGGUGACGGUACCUGAGAAGAAAGCCCCGGCUAACUACGUG
rnacentral:rRNA from 1 species